rnacentral:rRNA from 1 species
AACGAACGCUGGCGGCAUGCCUAACACAUGCGAGUCGAACGAGACCUUCGGGUCUAGUGGCGCACGGGUGCGUAACGCGUGGGAACCUGCCCUUAGGUUCGGAAUAACUCCCCGAAAGGGGUGCUAAUACCGGAUAAUGUCUUCGGACCAAAGAUUUAUCGCCUUUGGAUGGGCCCGCGUUGGAUUAGCUAGUUGGUAGGGUAAAAGCCUACCAAGGCGACGAUCCAUAGCUGGUCUGAGAGGAUGAGCAGCCACACUGGGACUGAGACACGGCCCAGACUCCUACGGGAGGCAGCAGUGGGGAAUAUUGGACAAGGGGCGAAAGCCUGAUCCAGCAAUGCCGCGUGAGUGAUGAAGGCCUUAGGGUUGUAAAGCUCUUUUACCCGGGAUGAUAAUGACAGUACCGGGAGAAUAAGCGCCGGCUAACUCCGUG